UUUUUAGUUCACUUUGAUAUCUGGAGUCAUUCCCGUACGGUUACUCCUUCUGAUUUUAAAUAUGUUUACCUUUAUUGAUAAUUACUCUAUAUGUACUUGGAUUUGGUUAAUGGAGAAUCGAUCAAAGUAUUUCUACGAUUCAAUUUUUUUUAAUGCAAUCAAAACUCAAUUUGGUAUAUCCUUCGUAGUGACAAUGUCCGUGAUUAUCCAUCUCACCAAUUUCAGUUGUUCAUGGCAUCUAAUGGUAUUAUUAAUCAAAUUUUGUCUUCUCAUACUAUUCAACAAAAUGUAGUCAAACACAACACAAAACAAACAUCUUAUUGAAACUACUCGAAUACUUCAUAGUCAUCUUCCUCACUGUUUUUGGUGGGAUGUUGUCUAUUACUGCAUAUUAUCUCAUUAACCGAAAAUCAUCUUUCCUUAAUUAUCAAGUAUUUCACCAUCCUUUUUCCUCAUUCCUAUCCAUGUAGUUUUCCUCCACAUGUUUUUGGUACAUAACCUCACACCUAGUCAAGAUAAAAUUCUUAAUUGGUUGUGUUCAAAUGUGCCUUUAUAUGACAUCAUCAUUCUCAAAAAAGGUAUUCAUGUUUCUCUCCUUAUCUUAACCGAUAUUUAGUGUCUAUCAACAUCUCUUUCUUUGAGUAUGUUCUAUACUAUACAAAUGUUCCUUCUACUUAUGACAUAUGUAAUUACUUUCCCACAAUAUCGAUCUUCCUUCAUCACCACCAAAGAAUACCUCGAGAUGCUUCCCCGACACCUCUUCAUGUGUAUCAACAUUGUUUACGACGUAUUGAAAUCUCACUACGGAACCAAACAAUCUUCGAUGGAUAAUGAUAUAGUGGAGGUCAUGUCUGAUCCUUCCUCAACACUGUCUCCCAUACUGGGUCCGGUCUCCU
rnacentral:lncRNA from 1 species